rnacentral:rRNA from 1 species
AGCAGUCGCCGCGGUAAUACGUAGGUGGCAAGCGUUGUCCGGAAUUAUUGGGCGUAAAGGGCUCGCAGGCGGUCUCUUAAGUCUGAUGUGAAAGCCCCCGGCUCAACCGGGGAGGGUCAUUGGAAACUGGGAAACUUGAGUGCAGAAGAGGAGAGUGGAAUUCCACGUGUAGCGGUGAAAUGCGUAGAGAUGUGGAGGAACACCAGUGGCGAAGGCGACUCUCUGGUCUGUAACUGACGCUGAGGAGCGAAAGCGUGGGGAGCGAACAGGAUUAGAUACCCCCGUAGUCCCUGUCUCUUAUAC